rnacentral:lncRNA from 1 species
AAAAAAAACCAAAAAAAAUGUGGAUGUAAGAGAUCGGAUGCUAUAUAUGGAUCCACAUUGUAUAACGGAUGUACCUUUACAAAACAGAACUACGAUAUGAGAGAUUUAGCAGCCACAAAUCUUGGUUUAUCCCCAAGAACAUAUCCACGCAAUUUAAUAGAACUAACUAACCUUUUCCUUUAAAAAAAAUAAAAUAAUAACUAACUAACC